UACGAAGGGUGCACGCGUUAAUCGGCAUUACUGGGCGUAAAGCGUGCGCAGGCGGUUUUGUAAGUCAGAUGUGAAAUCCCCGGGCUUAACCUGGGAACUGCGUUUGAAACUACAAGGCUAGAGUGUGGCAGAGGGGGGUGGAAUUCCACGUGUAGCAGUGAAAUGCGUAGAGAUGUGGAGGAACACCGAUGGCGAAGGCAGCCCCCUGGGUUAACACUGACGCUCAGGCACGAAAGCGUGGGGAGCAAACAGG
rnacentral:rRNA from 1 species